rnacentral:tRNA from 1 species
GUCCCCAUCGUCCAGAGGCCUAGGACGGCGGGUUUUCAGUCCGCUAACUGGGGUUCGAAUCCCCAUGGGGAUA